GACGAACGCUGGCGGCGUGCCUAAUACAUGCAAGUUGAGCGAUGAAGAUUGGUGCUUGCACCAAUUUGAAGAGCAGCGAACGGGUGAGUAACGCGUGGGGAAUCUGCCUUUGAGCGGGAGACAACAUUUGGAAACGAAUGCUAAUACCGCAUAAUAACUUUAAACAUAAGUUUUAAGUUUGAAAGAUGCAAUUGCAUCACUCAAAGAUGAUCCCGCGUUGUAUUAGCUAGUUGGUGAGGUAAAGGCUCACCAAGGCGAUGAUACAUAGCCGACCUGAGAGGGUGAUCGGCCACAUUGGGACUGAGACACGGCCCAAACUCCUACGGGAGGCAGCAGUAGGGAAUCUUCGGCAAUGGACGAAAGUCUGACCGAGCAACGCCGCGUGAGUGAAGAAGGUUUUCGGAUCGUAAAACUCUGUUGGUAGAGAAGAACGUUGGUGAGAGUGGAAAGCUCAUCAAGUGACGGUAACUACCCAGAAAGGGACGGCUAACUACGUGCCAGCAGCCGCGGUAAUACGUAGGUCCCGAGCGUUGUCCGGAUUUAUUGGGCGUAAAGCGAGCGCAGGUGGUUUAUUAAGUCUGGUGUAAAAGGCAGUGGCUCAACCAUUGUAUGCGUUGGAAACUGGUAGACUUGAGUGCAGGAGAGGAGAGUGGAAUUCCAUGUGUAGCGGUGAAAUGCGUAGAUAUAUGGAGGAACACCGGUGGCGAAAGCGGCUCUCUGGGCCUGUAACUGACACUGAGGCUCGAAAGCGUGGGGAGCAAACAG
rnacentral:rRNA from 1 species